rnacentral:rRNA from 1 species
UCAGUCGUACUAACGGGGAAUCAACCUUUUGAGGGUGGACUUGUGGGGUUCAGAGUGUCUUUGCUUUUCACAACCUGCUUUUUUUGGGUGCAAUUUCUCGUAUUGUAGGUCAGCAUCGGUUUCGACCGUUAUAAAAUGGCUGGAGGAAUGUAGCUUCGAUCUCGUAUUGAAGUGUUAUAGCCUUUGGUAGAUGUAACGGAUGGGAUCGAGGAUUGCAAUGAAUGCCCUCAUGGGCUAUCCGCCUGGCCUCUGACACGUCACUCUGGUGCCGAAAGCUUGCUUAUGGUAUUAUAGUGUACGGUCAAAAGGUUAGAACGGAUUAAA